rnacentral:lncRNA from 1 species
GUGGGUGGGUUAUUUUCAAAAUUCGAUAUUGAUUGGCUCGACAAUUGUCCUAGUUCUCUCCUCAUGGUAGACUCAGCUAAUUGACCUAUUUAUGCUUCUAGCCUGAUGAGGGAUUGCUGUUGGAUCAUAAUCAUUUGUUGAAGUUGGCUAAAUCUAUCAUCGGCUAGAUUGGUCUAUUGAGGAGGAAGGUAUGAUGGUUGAUUGUAAUAAGAUGGCUAG